rnacentral:rRNA from 1 species
GACGAACGCUGGCGGCGUGCCUAAAACAUGCAAGUCGAACGGUGUAGCAAUACACAGUAGCGAACGGCGGAGUAAUACAUGAACAACGUGCCCGGAAGGACUGGGAUAAGGUCAGGGGAAACCCUGGGUAAUACCAGAUGUGGCCGGUCUCUUGGCAUCUAGAGACGAAGUUAAAAGGGGUUUUUCGUCUUCCGGUACGGCGGUUCCGUACU